rnacentral:rRNA from 1 species
UAAUUGGGGGAACGCGGUGCAUGCCCCCGGCCCGCCUGGCGGCCGCGGGAAUUCGAUUAGAGUUUGAUUAUGGCUCACGCUCUUAAAGUGGCGGCGUGCCUAACACAUGCAAGUCGAACGGCCUUAUCCCGUCGAUGCGAUUUCGGUCAAGUCAAAGGAUGUUUUAGUGGCGGACGGGUGAGUAACGCGUGGGCAACCUGCCUUACACCGGGGGAUAACACUUAGAAAUAGGUGCUAAUACCGCAUAACAGGAGAACAUGCAUGUGUUUUCCUUGAAAACCACGGUGGUGUAAGAUGGACCCGCGUCUGAUUAGCUUGUUGGCAGGGUAACGGCCUACCAAGGCGACGAUCAGUAGCCGGCCUGAGAGGGUGGACGGCCACAUUGGGACUGAGACACGGCCCAGACUCCUACGGGAGGCAGCAGUGGGGAAUAUUGCACAAUGGGGGAAACCCUGAUGCUGCGACGCCGCGUGAGUGAAGAAGUAUUUCGGUAUGUAAAGCUCUGUCAGCAGGGAAGAAAAUGACGGUACCUGACCAAGAAGCCCCGGCUAACUACGUGCCAGCAGCCGCGGUAAUACGUAGGGGGCACGCGUUAUCCGGAUUUACUGGGUGUAAAGGGAGCGCAGACGGCAGUGCAAGUCCGGAGUGAAAGCCCGGGGCCCAUCCCCCGGGACUGCUCUGGAAACUGUACGGCUGGAUUGCCGGACAGGUAAGCGCAAUUCCUAGUGUACCGGUGAAAUGUUUAUAUAUUAUGAGGAACACCAGUGGCGAAGGCGGCUUACUGGACCGGAAUUGACGUUUAGGCUUUAAUGUGUGGGGAGCAAACAGGAUUAAAUACCCUGUUAUUCCC